UCCGUAGGUGAACCUGCGGAGGGAUCAUUACCGAGUUAUUCAACUCAUCAACCCUGUGAACUUACCUAAACGUUGCUUCGGCGGGAAUAGACGGCCCUGUAAAACGGGCCGCCCCCGCCAGAGGACCCUUAACUCUGUUUCUUAUAAUGUUUCUUCUGAGUAAAACAAGCAAAUAAAUUAAAACUUUCAACAACGGAUCUCUUGGCUCUGGCAUCGAUGAAGAACGCAGCGAAAUGCGAUAAGUAAUGUGAAUUGCAGAAUUCAGUGAAUCAUCGAAUCUUUGAACGCACAUUGCGCCCGCCAGUAUUCUGGCGGGCAUGCCUGUUCGAGCGUCAUUACAACCCUCAGGCCCCCGGGCCUGGCGUUGGGGAUCGGCGGAGCGCCCCUCGUGGGCGCACGCCGUCCCCCAAAUACAGUGGCGGUCCCGCCGCAGCUUCCAUCGCGUAGUAGCUAACACCUCGCGACUGGAGAGCGGCGCGGCCACGCCGUAAAACACCCCAACUCUUCUGAAGUUGACCUCGAAUCAGGUAGGAAUACCCGCUGAACUUAAGCAUAUCAAUAAGCGGAGGAAAAGA
rnacentral:sRNA from 1 species